CCUCGUAUGAUUCAAGAUAUGUGCAGAAUUUCACACGCGUUGUGCAACUGAAGUCCAAGUUUAUGCCAGAACUUGACAUCAUCUGCUCCAGGCUGUCUGCUGAGUGCCAUAGGAAGGGAGGAGAAACAGGACAUAAGAUUAAGGAGAUCAUGGCUGCCAUUGAUUGGAAUCCUAUCAUUGGCUCGUUGAGAGUUUGCCACCUGAAAGCACUUGUUGUGUACUUGAAGACCCAGAUAAACUCAUAAAGGAAUACCUGAGCUGCCAGAUGGUGUCAUCACUGAAAGCAGUCAUAAACAACAUGGCAGAUUCAUCCAUUUCCUCCAGCCAAAGCGACUCACCACGCACUACCAGUGACACUGGCAGUGAAGACAUGGAAUUAUGACUG